CCUACGGGAGGCAGCAGUGGGGAAUAUUGGGCAAUGGGCGCAAGCCUGACCCAGCAACGCCGCGUGAAGGAAGAAGGCUUUCGGGUUGUAAACUUCUUUUAUCAGGGACGAAGCAAGUGACGGUACCUGAUGAAUAAGCCACGGCUAACUACGUGCCAGCAGCCGCGGUAAUACGUAGGUGGCAAGCGUUAUCCGGAUUUACUGGGUGUAAAGGUCGUGUAGGCGGGGGUGCAAGUCAGUUGUGAAAACUAUGGGCUCAACCCAUAGCCUGCAUUUGAAACUGUACGUCUUGAGUUCUGGAGAGGCAAUCGGAAUUCCGGGUGUAGCGGUGAAAUGCGUAGAUAUACGGAGGAACACCAGUGGCGAAGGCGGAUUGCUGGACAGUAACUGACGCUGAGGCGCGAAAGCGUGGGGAGCAAACAGGAUUAGAUACCCCAGUAGUC
rnacentral:rRNA from 1 species